CGCCCACUCCUCCUAUCCUAACUGACGCCCAUCCUCCGCUCCCGCCGCUGUUCCGCCGCCUCCUGCGCCGUCCGCCGCUCCGCCGCCUCCCGUGUCGCCCGCCGAUGCCCCGUCGCCCGCUGCCGCCGAUGAGCCCAUCCGAUGGCGGCGUCGACCCACCCAUCUUCUGCUACUGGAUGCGGCGACCCAGUCGCCGUCUUGCAGGCGAACCAUCGACUGUUGUGUGGUGGCCUUCAGAUCGUCCACGGAGAAGUCCUGAAGCGGUGGCGUGUCGAAGACGAUGCACGGCGCUGGAGCGAGGGCCACCAUGACUAACCUCACUCCAAUCAUCUCACGGGGCAAGCUGAUGGCAUCAAGCAUGUAGGUCAAUGGGCUUCCACAUCGGUUCAUCAUUUUGAAGCAACAACAACUGUUGGAACUCUGGCAUAUAUUGCUCCUUAAGUUUCGCUCAGUAAUUAAUAUGGUCGGAAGGUAUAGUCCAUCACUAUGUGCUUUAGACGGCCCCGUGCAUACUCUGCCAUCCGCCUCCUAACUUAAUUCAUUUUGCUCGAGCAUAAAAGCUUUACUAAUUCUGAAUCUUGCAUACACUUUUUCUUGGCAUGAGUAGUGCAUAGUCUUCAGCCGACACAAACAUAUUAAUAUUUUAUGUUCUAUUAUUUGCCGAAGAACUACUAAUUUUUCAUUUGGUGGAGAUAGAUGAUGUGUGGAUGUAGGGUCUUCCUUUACGUGAUGUUGGAUGGUACCUAUCCUUUUUAGGAUCCAAAAGAUCACAAGAAUUUCAAAAUGAAAAUAAAGGGGUGUAGCCUACCUACUUCAAUUUGUUCUCAGAAACCAUGAACGGUCACUGAUGCUGAUGAAAAAAGAAAGAAAGAGAAGCAGGUAACUAGACCUAUCUUCAGGCCUAGACUGUUACAGUUUUUCAUAAUCUGUCUUAUCAGUACCUUUCGAAUUGUUUCACAAUUUCAUAAUCUGUCACCGUUGUUACUCCUUUGAAUCUGACCGCAACCAAACGACCCUGAUCUUUGCACCGGUCUGUGUGUCGUCUCCCAAGGACGAGAAGAGCGUCAAGGUAUUGUUUUGUCACGCUGAACAAGAACAUAACGGCGUGUAAUUGUUCUCAAGAUUUUUUUCAUAUGAUUCUGUAUAUACAAUAGCUGGUUCAUCGCGUGGUGAUCUGCUUUGUAAAUUUCUGAUAUUGUAGUAACUGACGCUGAUUGAUUCAGUAAUUACAGGGGCGUGCUCAGACAAAGUGCAGGAAUGGGAGGAGUGCGUCAAGAACAAGACGGUGUGCCCUGACAUGUAUGUAUAAUUGUUUUUUAUAUAUUUUUUCAAAUGAAAAGGACAAAAUGUUCACUAUAAAUUCGGUUGUGUAUAAUUAGGAGCGCGCAUUACCUCAAUAAAAAUUAGGAGCACAUAAAUGUUUAUUUAUAGUAUGAAUUAUGAUUUGUCGUUAUAUAUUGCCACAGAAACCAAUGCAUAUGAGACCAUAUUUUAUCCUUUGUCAUACCUUUCGGAGCUCUUGAGCGUUGGUUCUUGAAAAUCUCAAAAAGAGGGCGAGUGAUGCUUAUGGGAGAGAAGGAAACAGAAGCAUGUAAUGUGACCUAACAUUUUUUUUCAUAUUCUUUGUAUUCUUUAAAGUAGUUGCCUUUCAGAACUUGCGCAAAGGUGCCUCGAAACGCAUCUGCCCUGCCCGAGAAGAGGACGUUCAACCCCGGCUGGCAUACAAUGGGACCAACAGGCUGUUUCAUCACAGAUCCACGGUAAUAUACUAGGGUUAAUUGGAUAGAUGCCACUACAAUUUCCGGCUAUUUGAGAAACGCCACUGCAACUUUCAUCUUUCGAAAAAUGCCAUUGCAACUCUGUGUACAUUUGACA